rnacentral:misc_RNA from 1 species
UUGAUUCUUUUGUAUGAUUCAGACGACACACAGAUUUAUGCAUAAAAGCGGCGCCCAAAAAGGACGCCGAAGCACAUUUUUUGCUUCCACAGGUUUGGAGGGGUAGAAGGUCAAAGACCAUUCAAUAAUGAUCCCUCCGCAGGUUCACCUACGGAGA